UACAGAGGGUGCGAGCGUUAAUCGGAUUUACUGGGCGUAAAGCGUGCGUAGGCGGCCACUUAAGUCGGAUGUGAAAUCCCCGAGCUCAACUUGGGAAUUGCAUUCGAUACUGGGUGGCUAGAGUAUGGGAGAGGAAGGUAGAAUUCCAGGUGUAGCGGUGAAAUGCGUAGAGAUCUGGAGGAAUACCGAUGGCGAAGGCAGCCUUCUGGCCUAAUACUGACGCUGAGGUACGAAAGCAUGGGGAGCAAACAGG
rnacentral:rRNA from 1 species